GAAGUAUUACUCCGGCCCCUGUCCUGACCCGUUGAAAAGUAGCCGGGUAAUCGUUUGCGUUUCCUUAGCGGAUGCCGCAACUCUCUGGUUGGGCCGGGCCGGGGAAGUCAACGCAAAAAUGCGAAAGGGCGUAAAUAGAUAGUUCGUCAUAAAUUAGCGGGGGAUUGUGGACGAUCCUGGCUAAAAGGGGAAGAGGGAAAAUGCAGUUUAGUGAAAAAUCAGGUAAUAUUUUUAACGAUUACCGCGAUAAAUAACUCACCCGUCUCCCCCCGGGGAGCAAAAGGAGCAAGAGAUGAGCACAGAGCUGAGAUACGCAUUAGUGACGACGGUGGUCGCACUGGGGCUGAUUGUCGCCGCAGCAUUCACCGCUAUUCUGCACUAAAUU
rnacentral:sRNA from 1 species